rnacentral:rRNA from 1 species
UACGUAGGGUGCAAGCGUUGUCCGGAAUUAUUGGGCGUAAAGAGCUCGUAGGCGGUCUGUCGCGUCUGCCGUGAAAACCCGAGGCUUAACCUCGGGCUGGCGGUGGAUACGGGCAGACUAGAGGUAGGUAGGGGAGAAUGGAAUUCCCGGUGUAGCGGUGAAAUGCGCAGAUAUCGGGAGGAACACCGAUGGCGAAGGCAGGUCUCUGGGCCACUACUGACGCUGAGAAGCGAAAGCAUGGGGAGCGAACAGG